UAGGGAAUCUUCCGCAAUGGGCGAAAGCUUGACGGAGCAACGCCGCGUGAGUGAUGAAGGUCUUCGGAUCGUAAAACUCUGUUAUUAGGGAAGAACAAAUGUGUAAGUAACUAUGCACGUCUUGACGGUACCUAAUCAGAAAGCCACGGCUAACUACGUGCCAGCAGCCGCGGUAAUACGUAGGUGGCAAGCGUUAUCCGGAACUAUUGGGCGUAAAGCGCGCGUAGGCGGUUUUUUAAGUCUGAUGUGAAAGCCCACGGCUCAACCGUGGAGGGUCAUUGGAAACUGGAAAACUUGAGUGCAGAAGAGGAAAGUGGAAUUCCAUGUGUAGCGGUGAAAUGCGCAGAGAUAUGGAGGAACACCAGUGGCGAAGGCGACUUUCUGGUCUGUAACUGACGCUGAUGUGCGAAAGCGUGGGGAUCAAACAGG
rnacentral:rRNA from 1 species